UGUGUAUCAUCAUCGCUCUUGGUUCUCACCAGUAACCUUCUUCCUCCUCAGAGCAAUAUCCUUAUAUGGAUAAGGUCUCUCCAGGGGUAGAUGGUACGGUGCAAAUUUCUCUGGAUCUGGUUUCAGCCUAUCCCAAAGAUCAAACCAUUCCUCAUCAAAUCCUUCCUCAUGAAGCUUUAUUACAUGUUUUGAGAGAGGAAUAAAUAAAGGUGUGAGAUGACGCAUUUCUCGUUUCCCAGCACUGUUUAUUGUUGUGAAUGGGAAAAUAUGAGGAUUGUCGUAAUCAUAUGGAGGUAUAGCAGCCCAUUUCUCGGGAACGCGAUGUUCACACUCCCACACCUUCAGGGUACGCAUCGAGAAAGUUAAUUCAUCUUCAGUAACAACGGCCUCCCACUGGAUCAGGCAAGUCAGCCGACUUGUAUGACCGAGAGAAAGCAAACAAACUGACUUUUUUCAAUAUCACACCCACUCUGAGCAUUUGAUCCCCAUACUUGGGUUCUGCUGGAUUAUCCCAUGCCUUCAAAGACUCUUGGAGCCCCUCGAAAAAGAUCACAGCCUGCUUUGUCACCGCCCAAGCCUUGCAGUACUCCUUCCGCUCCAACUACAAUCUAACGUCAGUUUGACAUGACGGCUGUCAUGUUCCCUUGUUCACUGUACAGGAUAGAGGAGGAAGGGAUGGUCUGGAUCACCAGCAAAAUAAUAAUACUCGAUACAAGGAUUGUCGGUACGCAACUUGCCAUUCGUCUUGAUUCUUGCCCAUUCGAGGGUCAUUUCGGUAUCGAAGAUGAAUAAUGGUUGAUUAGUGUCGUACCAUAGCUUGUAUUCUUGGUAAAGGAUGCGAGUACUGCUGUAUAUUUUGUAAGGGAUGCUGAUAAUAGAGGAGAGAGUUGACGAGAGAGUUGACGAGAGAGUUGACGAGAGAGCAGACUGAGCGGAAGAUCCGUUCAAAGUUGACAUUGAUUGUUCGGGAGACAGUGUCACGUAGAAGAAGAUUGGCUUGGUGAUUCCAGAUAACAAAAAAAAGAAGGAGCGGAAAACAAAGAAAGGCUGAGAAUGAUGUGACGAAGACAACAGGCUUGUUGAAAAGGAAAGGAUGAUGCGGGCCCGAUACGGACAAGAAGAUGAGUGCAGAGUACAGUAGGGAGCGCCCAGAUCUUUUCUUCUCAGCGCCGGCACCUGCGGGAUGAAAGAAAUUAAAGUUAAAAACAGAUACUUCCUAUCUCAUCCCCAACAAGGUCCGGCAGAACGCGUAUCAUGAAUUGAAUAGGGGAGGGAGACCGAACUGCAUUACAUUGUUCAGGAUUAAGUAGGUGUGACAACAUCUAACUGGAUGUGAGGAGCCUGGAGUAGAAAUAUAAAUGACUAGACUAUUUUCAUAUCGCAUCUACUAUUAAUGCCUGUCUUUUCC
rnacentral:sRNA from 1 species